CAGCCGCCGCGGGAAUGCGUAGAUGGCAAGCGUUGUCCGGAAUUAUUGGGCGUAAAGGGCUCGCAGGCGGUUUCUUAAGUCUGAUGUGAAAGCCCCCGGCUCAACCGGGGAGGGUCAUUGGAAACUGGGAAACUUGAGUGCAGAAGAGGAGAGUGGAAUUCCACGUGUAGCGGUGAAAUGCGUAGAGAUGUGGAGGAACACCAGUGGCGAAGGCGACUCUCUGGUCUGUAACUGACGCUGAGGAGCGAAAGCGUGGGGAGCGAACAGGAUUAGAUACCCCUGUAGUCCCUGUCUCUUAUAA
rnacentral:rRNA from 1 species